rnacentral:rRNA from 1 species
UACGUAGGGGGCAAGCGUUGUCCGGAUUUACUGGGCUUAAAGGGCGCGUAGGCGGGUGCUCAAGUCCGGGGUGAAAUCCUCCAGCUCAACUGGAGAACUGCCUCGGAUACUGGGCGUCUCGAGUGUGGUAGGGGUAUGCGGAACUAUCGGUGGAGCGGUGAAAUGCGUUGAUAUCGAUAGGAACUCCGGUGGCGAAGGCGGCAUACUGGACCACCACUGACGCUGAUGCGCGAAAGCCAGGGGAGCAAACGGG